rnacentral:tRNA from 1 species
GGUGGCUCAGUGGUAGAGUGCUUGCCUUGCAUGCAUGAAGCCCUGGGUUCGAUUCCCUAGCACCA